rnacentral:lncRNA from 1 species
CCUACCUUCACCCAAUCCUCCUUAUCCACAAACACACACCUCACUCAUUCCCCUGUGAACGAUAGCCGGCGGCGCAAUCCUUUUGCUUCCUCUUCCCGUCCUUGGUGGCUGGGCCUUGAGCAUCUCAGCCAUCUGGUCUGCAGCUCCUCCUUGUCCUCCUACUCUAGCGGCAGCUCGCAGAGCCCAAGGGGACGGCGUCGGAUGUAGUGGCGAGACAUGGAUCUCCGCCUCUCCGGCAUCGACGGUGACUCAAUCCGCGGCAUUGGCUGCCGGCGGCGGUUAUGGAGGUGCCCAUCCUCCUGCACAUGCUCAUGUUUUUCUUGCCUCAGACUGCCCAAAUCACUGUGGAGCACGGCGAAACUCGUCCACCGUCGCACUUGACAGCCACUGUGAUGGGUUUCAAUACAAUUCCAUGUUGAAACAAAAAAAAACCCAGGUAUUAUUCAUUGCCUUUAUUCUUACUUUUUUGUUCUGGAGUAGGAGUGUUACUGAAGCAAGUACUACUACCUUAGGAUUACGAAAUCAGUUACCAAAUAAAGCAGGCAAUUUGUUCAUCCCCAUUACUUAUUUUUUUACGUCAGUACAGUUAAACAAAACACUAUCUCAAAAAGGCGCUACCUCAGAAUUACUGUUGAUCGUGAUCACAUCACAUCUCAAAUCGUUCAUAAGUUCCGACCAGUCAUAUCGACCCCAUUCAAAUCGUAAAACACACACUGAAUUGUGGCAUAAUCAUAGUCAAAAUCAGUCAAACGACUGCAAUAGACACUGAAUCUGCUCAGGGGAAAAAAUAAUCAAGGAAACAAAUUGCUAAGGGAAAUAAAGUCUUUAAGUUCAGUUGCAAUUUUUUCUUCAACCCACUGCGUAGAGCCUCAUCUCACUUCGAUUUCACGAAUGUUAUAUCCCCACGAGAGCACAUCAUAUAGGGUUCUCUGCAGUCAGAAUAGCAGCGGUUAGUACAUUCACUCAUACAUAACCAGUGACAUUAAACAUAAUGAAAACAGUGCUCAUGCAAAAUUAUAUUCUCCUACAUUAUCCCAAUGUUCGAACAUUAUAAAGGGCAACAUAUGACAAUUCAAUGAACUAUCCUAAUUCGUUACUGUCUCUUUGUCCACUUCGUCUGAAAGAAAGCAAAAUUCAUAUAAUCUCAGAUAACCCAGAAUGUAAACAAGUAGGAAGCUUACUCUGCCUACACAGUUUCCAUGGGCUGACUCUGGCCUCUCUGAGUCCCUCGCACUUUCUUGAAUUUAGCAAUUAUACAUUCAGGUCGGCUUAGAUUUCCCAGCCACUGUGUCGCUUUCUUGAACAUAGUCUUUAUGCGCUUAAUCACCAUCUGAAAGAGAAAAAAAGAAUCAAAGGACAUAUGUAUGAUACCUUACUACUUUUUAAUUUGAAAUCAUCAGUCGUGAUCAAGAGGCAUUGUACCUCUGUCGGCUGAAAGUAAUUCAGCCAAAUGACCACCGUCAUGCACAAGACGACACAUGCAAAAGGCCAUACAACUGAUUUGGAAACACCUCUACAAACACACAGUGUUAUAAAUGGUGCUGCGCACAACCACAGAAGUAUUAAAAGCUGCACUAUUUGUAGGACUUUGAAUCCAAGAUUUUCAGGCAAUGCUCCCUCCUUGAAGCUUGAAGCAGGACCUAUCAGAAUAAGGCUGAUGAUGGUCACUACAAUGUGUGCUGUGGGAAUGAUGUCCUUCCAAGUGCCAAAAUUUGCAUUUGAGCAAAAUAAAGUCCAAUUAGGAAUGAGAAACCCUGAGCAAGCAAGUGAGGCGAUCGCAGUGUUCAAGACAAAACCAUGCCUACCCUGAGUUCAGACAAAGCAGUAAGAAAAAUUGGCGCAGCUACAGAGCUUUUGGUAUAGUCUAAUGCCAGGGAAAGGAUAAUCACCUUCAUUUUCUUCUCAUUCUCAUCAGAAUCAUUUUCAUCAUCAGGNNNNNNNNNNNNNNNNNNNNNNNNNNNNNNNNNNNNNNNNNNNNNNNNNNNNNNNNNNNNNGCCUAUGUCAACAUGAUGAAUUGGACUGUUGGUUGCUCUCUUUCUCUGAAUCAACAAAACAAUACGUCAGAGAGCAAAAAUAAAACUAGGAAGAUACGGACAGGGAGAGGAAAGAAAACGACGCAAGUUGUUGUCACCAUUGUUUCCGUCCCAGUGUUUUUAUAAGAGUAACUGCUCAUAGAAUUUGUAGUGCUAUUCAGAACAGUCGGAAUUACUGCAUGUUUCUCAUCAUUUUUGCCAUUGCAGCUGCUUGGCUCAGCUCCCACAGGAUUGAUAGCAUCCUGUCGAGCAUUAACGAGUUGGUAAGGCACAAUGUCAUUGUGUUCAUGACAUUGGUGCAACAAUAAGGGAAAUAAUCAAAGGGAAGUGGGAGCAUAUACCAUGCCACUGGAAGGUUGACACUCGACAUUGUCCUGAUAAAAGAAAAAAAAGUAGCAUCUUUUAGUUUAUGACAAAGCGUCGCAAGCCAAAAACAAGGAAGAGCAAGAAAAUUUGUAGUAGACACUCCAACAGUAUAUAAGUUUAUUCAUAAAUAAACACCACAAAUUACAUAAAUGUAUACAAGUGGCUGAGCUUGAUGAAAAUGUUGUGGGGGCAGGAAAACAACCUAUAUAUGCUUAACCUUGGAAGCAGUUAGGUCACUGCAGGGAGUUAGUGAUGGUGAUCCUAUGCAUGAGCUAAAGAGAGUAUGUUUGAUUUGAAGUUGUGCUAAGCACAGUGAGAGGUGGUAACAUUCUCAAAGAUGAAUCCAUUCAUCUGCUUCCAGAUGUCCCAGGCUGCAAUGUGAUGGCGUUUUCCAUGAAGUCAGGGCGGUUGAAAUUGGUUCUGGUCUCGAUCAAAUCUGCAAGGCUGUGCUAGUGCCCCAGUUCGUGCGGAUGCCCUCGACAUAAUAAUAUAUAUAUAUAAGACUCGAUCAAACAAUUGGAGGACCCAGGGCAACUGGCAUUGAGGUGAAAUUCCUGUACAUAGAGGGGAGCGCUGAAGAUGUGCAACAAUCUGGCGACAGAAGAUGCAGAUGUGAUGAAUGAGUCUUACUGAGUGUAAUGUGAUGUAGAAUUUCUGAAGUUUAAUGCAUAUGCCACGGUUGGCUGAAUAUGGUUUUCCCUGGAGGAGCAUUUAUCUAUUCUUCAGCUAAAGCUGUAUGCACCAGUAGUGCAGCACAAUGCUAAUUUUCAGUUAAAAUUUGUAUGCAUUGGUAAUGCGAUACAAAACUACUCCUUUCAUUUUUAAACAUAAGUCUUUUUAAAAAUUUCACUACGAACUAUAUAUGGAUGUACUAUAAAGACAUGUUUUAAAGUGUGAAUUCACUCAUUUUAUUUCGAAUGUAGUCCGUAGUGAAAUAUCUAGAAAGACUUAUAUUUA